GACGAACGCUGGCGGCGUGCUUAACACAUGCAAGUCGAACGGAAAGGCCCCUUUGGGGGUACUCGAGUGGCGAACGGGUGAGUAACACGUGAGUAACCUGCCCUUGACUUCGGGAUAACUUCAGGAAACUGGGGCUAAUACCGGAUAGGAAUCCUUGCUGCAUGGUGGGGGUUGGAAAGCUUCGGCGGUUUUGGAUGGACUCGCGGCUUAUCAGCUUGUUGGUGGGGUAGUGGCUUACCAAGGCUUUGACGGGUAGCCGGCCUGAGAGGGCGACCGGCCACAUUGGGACUGAGAUACGGGCCAGACUCCUACGGGAGGCAGCAGUGGGGAAUAUUGCACAAUGGGCGGAAGCCUGAUGCAGCAACGCCGCGUGCGGGAUGACGGCCUUCGGGUUGUAAACCGCUUUCAGCAGGGGCGAAGCUUGUGGUGACGGUACCUGCAGAAGAAGCACCGGCUAACUACGUG
rnacentral:rRNA from 1 species